rnacentral:lncRNA from 1 species
CUUCUGAUAACAGUGCUUGAGGCCAUCUCUAUGUGCUUUUUCCCCCACAGAUGGCAAAGCAAUUUAUUUUUAAAUGUUUGGAAUCGCAUAUUCCUUAUCUGAUCUUGAAAACUUACAAUGAUUAAAGAAUCUCGAUCUUUGAAAAAUUCCGAUUUCCUGUGUGCUGACUUUAUCAAGAAAGAGGUUCUCACCAGACAGCAGUCCCUGACAUUCUACAUCUAUACAAGCUUCAUGGAAAGAAUGCUCCAUCUUCUAAAUAAAUCC